ACCGCCUGUUCCCGCGCGGUUCGCUAGAGGGCAGGCGGGGCCCGUGCAAAGCCUGCGCGCCAGGGCACGCGCGCACCCAGCACGGCUCCAGCGCUUUAGCUCCCGAUCCAGGGCUGAGUUCCGCCGCCGGCGCGAGAGUGAGGUCGCGUCCGGAGCGCUAAGCUCCCCGACCCGGGAAAGCUUCAUAGUCAAAGGAACUGACAAGCCGCAGCUCAAUGCACUAUCACAGUAACUGAGUAGCUGGAAAUCAGUUCCGCUGAGCGAGCGAGGGGAGGCGAGGCACGAUGGAGACACCAGCCAGGUGAUCCUGAAUCGUCAGCGCCAGUGUGCGCGAUUCCAGCUGCCCGCAGGACUGCACGUGGAACCCAGUUGCCUUUCCUUGCCCUCCCUCUGGUGGAGCGUUCUAGCGACAGUGAAAUCAGGAAAGCAUUGGCACCCUGCUGCAGAAGACAGAACUGAAAGGCCACAGAAAUCCGCAGCAUGGAGUGACCCCCAAAGUCUCCAGGUUAAGAAAACACUCAUCACCGUUCUCCCGGAGCUUUGGCCGAGUAUGCCCUGCGGUGGUCAGGAAGCGGCGUAGUGCGUGCGAACAGCCAACAGCCAACAGCCGUAGUCAGCCUCUGCACUCGUGCAGAGACUCGCUCUGCUUUUCCCUGCUCUGGGUUAAUACCAGCAGAACCACUGCCUCUGCCUUGUUUGCUUUCUCUAAUUGCCACGAUUUAAACCGGGUUCUAUCUGGCUAUGGGAGCCGCCUCCCUCCUGUACGUGGGAAAGGCGGGGAGCAAAAAUGUACGUUUUAAAUUGUUCUAAAAUAAAAGUUAUUUUAUUUUAGUUUAA